AUUGAUUAAGGAAAGCCGAUAUUUAUUCUGUGACAUUUUGGAAUUACAUGUAUAAUUUCCAUUUAACUAAUUAUAGUUGAGAACAAAAGCUGUAAAAGUAUCACAAGGUAAAUAUAACUUUACUUCAAUGAGAAAGGUACAUUUUAAAAGAAAGUAUACAAAUAAUGUCAUCCACCUUCUAACAAACCUAGAUUUUAUUUUCUUUUAUCACUUUGUUUCACUUGUGAAUUGUUUUUUUCUAUUACAAAUUUAAAGAAGUCUGGCACCUUUAUAAGAAAAAAAGAGAUGUUGUGUGAUUGCCAACAAGAUAACUUUACCCAGAAACCAAAUGACGUAGAUAGUAGCAUCUAUAAGUCACCCUACGGCAUCAAAGGCAACAAUGAGUAUUAAACCCAAUUUACAAUAAUCUAUGAAAUUGACAAUGGGGUCGGUUGAAAACAAAACUUUACGACAAAAGAGAUGAUUUCAGCUUCCCACUUGUGAACUUUCCAUUUCUAAGCAACAUCAGUCCCGUAGCACCUGCAUACGGAGUAUAUAUCUCCCAAUGUUGAUACGAUAUUCCCGGGCUUGUAUUUCCUAUCAUGAUUGCCUUGAUCAAGAGUUGCUGCUCACAAGGAAGCUAUUAAACCAAGAGUUCCAAAUGGUGAAGCUGAAAUCAUUCCUUCGUAAAUUUUACGUACGCCAUCACGGUCCAUCACGAGUUAGUGGACCGUUAUGGAACUGCCGUUUCACAGAUGAUAUCGGAUACGUUCCUGAUGUUGUAAUUACAAUUCCCCUUCUCACGAAUGUGACUUACCAAAUUAGACAAUAUACCGGGUUUUUAAUAACAUGAGCAACAUGAUGGGUGUCACAUCAUGGUGGAGCAGGAUCUGUUCACCCUUCCGGAGCACAUGAGAUCACCCCCAUGCGCGCAGUUUUGGUGGUGUUCGUGUUGCUAAGUUUAGUUUUCUAUGUUGUGUCUUGUGUACUAUUAUUUGUCUGUGACUUUUUCUUAGUUAGCCAUGGCGUUGUCGGUUUAUUUUCGAUCUAUGAGUAACAGAGUUUGACUGUCCCUCUGGUAUCUUUCGCACCCUCCUCUAUGAGACACCAUUCGAACUUAAUGUAAUUCAUUCGCAUUACAAAAAAUCAGAAUAUGUACAAACCUGGCCAUCAAUUUUGCGAAAAGUCAGUUACCUUAACAAAACGCUGGUAUACGUAUCGUGCAAAUCUUUAAGAAUCUUACGGUGGCCUAUAGUUGUUAAUUUCUGUGUCAUUUUGGUCUUUUGUGGAGAGUUGUCUCAUUGGCAAUCAUACCACAUCUUCUUUUUUUUUUAUAUAUAUAUAACAUAAGGAUAACUUCUUUCUCGGUAUACCACAUAAUAGUCCUCAUUUUAAUGUUCUUUGAAAAAGUAAGUGGACAGUUUUGACGUUAACCAUUAUUAUGUUUUUGUUUGUUAGAAAAUGAAUUCCAGACUUCUAGUUUUGCUGCUGAUUUCCAUUGUAAUCAUUGGAACAGUUGAAUGCUCGUUUUUAGGAGUGGGGACAUGGAGACUUGAGGGCUGUAAAACCGUAUGUCGUGAUGUCUGCCAUAAAGUAUGUCAUGGGGGAAAUAUGAACAGAUGUGAAAACAGAUGUAGGAAGGAAUGCAAGAAAGAGUGCGCACCGCCAUCAUAAAUGGUAAGAUAUCUUCUAUGGACUAACCGUCAACAGUUAUUUCAGCAUGUAUUUAUUGUUUCUUUUAUAAAGGCUACGGUUUUAUUUGAACUAGUAAAAGGUGACUUUAAACGUACUGUCUCUGUGAAUUGUCUUUUAAAAGGCGAAUGUCCGAGACCUUUAUCAAAUAGAACAGUCAUUUGUAUUCCAGUGGUCAUCAAAACUAUUCCCACCAUAAAAAAUUAAAACAUCACGAUAUGAAUAUCAUGCGUCCGAAGCGCUUUUCUAGUUUAACCUUCAUCGGGACGCUCAAAGACGAAUAUUUGAAAGCCAAGGAUUUAUAUGGUACAUACAAAGAACCUUAUCGUCCAAAAAGGUGAAAAUAACUAACAGAUAACAACGCCAAAUGGUCUCAUCUGUUGUGAAUUCCUUUAUAUAGUUUCCUGUGUGAAACUGAACUUUCCAAAUUUAGAAAAGAAUGAUAAUUGCUGUCUAUUAAUAUUGUAGCAUAUUUAUUUUAUUUUUUAUACAGCCUUUCUAAUCUUAUUUCUUAAUUUUCAGCUCCAUACAUGUACAGAACAGAUGAAAAUGAUGUGUCAAAAUAAAAUACAUGUACAGAACAGAUGAAAAUGAUGUGUCAAAAUAAAAUAGAAAUUUGUAACAUGUAUUUCCUUGAAUUCUAUCAAUCGAUUCAUGAGUAAAUUAUCCAAUAAAUAUUAAACAAACAAAAACAAAAC
rnacentral:lncRNA from 1 species